rnacentral:rRNA from 1 species
UACGAAGGGGGCUAGCGUUGUUCGGAAUCACUGGGCGUAAAGCGCACGUAGGCGGCUUUCUAAGUCAGGGGUGAAAUCCUGGAGCUCAACUCCAGAACUGCCUUUGAUACUGGAGAGCUAGAGUCCGGAAGAGGUGAGUGGAACUGCGAGUGUAGAGGUGAAAUUCGUAGAUAUUCGCAAGAACACCAGUGGCGAAGGCGGCUCACUGGUCCGGUACUGACGCUGAGGUGCGAAAGCGUGGGGAGCAAACAGG